GACGAACGCUGGCGGCGUUCUUAACACAUGCAAGUCGAACGCUGAAGCUCAGCUUUUGUUGGGUGGAUGAGUGGCGAACGGGUGAGUAACACGUGAGUAACCUGCCCCCUUCUUUGGGAUAACGCCCGGAAACGGGUGCUAAUACUGGAUAUUCACUGGUCUUCGCAUGGGGGUUGGUGGAAAGGGUUUUUCUGGUGGGGGAUGGGCUCGCGGCCUAUCAGCUUGUUGGUGGGGUGAUGGCCUACCAAGGCUUUGACGGGUAGCCGGCCUGAGAGGGUGACCGGUAACAGUGGGACUGAGAUACGGCCCAGACUCCUACGGGAGGCAGCAGUGGGGAAUAUUGCACAAUGGGCGCAAGCCUGAUGCAGCGACGCCGCGUGAGGGAUGGAGGCCUUCGGGUUGUGAACCUCUUUCGCUCAUGGUCAAGCCGCAACAAUGGUUGUGGUGAGGGUAGUGGGUAAAGAAGCGCCGGCUAACUACGUG
rnacentral:rRNA from 1 species